rnacentral:rRNA from 1 species
AGAUUGAACGCUGGCGGCAGGCCUAACACAUGCAAGUCGAGCGGCAGCACGGGUACUUGUACCUGGUGGCGAGCGGCGGACGGGUGAGUAAUGCCUAGGAAUCUGCCUGGUAGUGGGGGAUAACGCUCGGAAACGGACGCUAAUACCGCAUACGUCCUACGGGAGAAAGCAGGGGACCUUCGGGCCUUGCGCUAUCAGAUGAGCCUAGGUCGGAUUAGCUAGUUGGUGAGGUAAUGGCUCACCAAGGCGACGAUCCGUAGCUGGUCUGAGAGGAUGAUCAGCCACACUGGAACUGAGACACGGUCCAGACUCCUACGGGAGGCAGCAGUGGGGAAUAUUGGACAAUGGGCGAAAGCCUGAUCCAGCCAUGCGCGUGUGUGAAGAAGGUCUUCGGAUUGUAAAGCACUUUAAGUUGGAGGAAGGCAGUUACCUAAUACGUAUCUGUUUGACGUUUACCGACAGAAUAAGCACCGG